rnacentral:tRNA from 1 species
AAGGGAGACCUAAUUCCGGUAGGAGACGAAAAAAAAGUAGUCCCUACCAAGAAUCAAUCCCAAAAGGUCGGAGCGAGGCGAAAUUGGCUUUCAAACUAGGUUCUGGGUUCACACAAGACCUGAAUCAGGAACAAGGGCUAUUAGCUCAGGUGGUUAGAGCGCACCCCUGAUAAGGGUGAGGUCCCUGGUUCGGGUCCAGGAUGGCCCACCUGUACAGGUGGCAAAAAGAAAGAAAAGAAGCGAGGAAUCAGCACCUUAUCUUACUGACAUAGUAAGAGAGAAUGCUGGCUCUGAGUAAAGAGUCCAGAGGAACCUUGAAAACUGCAUAGAGCUAGGUGAAAAAGCCAAAAAAGAAGACCGCAA